UUAAAGCCCAGAAUUCCGCUGUAAUGCUGGUAGCAAAACCAAUGGAUCUCGCAAAUCCUUUGAUCCAGUGUCCGCUACAGUCCCUGAUUAGUCCCCCACCCCCUGCAGCGGGUUGACCAUUCUUCUCUUAGCUGGUGGUGUGAACCUAUAACCAGAACUGGCUGAGCUGAAAGACAAGACCAUUAUGUAAUACACAUCAUGCAAUAUUAUGCUUCAGCAGAA